rnacentral:rRNA from 1 species
CCUACGGGCGGCAGCAGUGGGGAAUAUUGGACAAUGGGCGAAAGCCUGAUCCAGCCAUGCCGCGUGUGUGAAGAAGGCCUUCGGGUUGUAAAGCACUUUCAGUGGGGAAGAAAGCCUUGGGGCUAAUACCCUCGAGGAAGGACAUCACCCACAGAAGAAGCACCGGCUAACUCCGUGCCAGCAGCCGCGGUAAUACAGGAGGGUGCGAGCGUUAAUCGGAAUUACUGGGCGUAAAGCGCGCGUAGGCGGUCUGAUAAGCCGGUUGUGAAAGCCCCGGGCUCAACCUGGGAACGGCAUCCGGAACUGUCAGGCUAGAGUGCAGGAGAGGAAGGUAGAAUUCCCGGUGUAGCGGUGAAAUGCGUAGAGAUCGGGAGGAAUACCAGUGGCGAAGGCGGCCUUCUGGACUGACACUGACGCUGAGGUGCGAAAGCGUGGGUAGCAAACAGGAUUAGAUACCCGUGUAGUC